GCACGCCGAGCCACGACCAGGGGAAAUGGCACCCAGGUCAGAAAUCCCCUGACAAAUAGCCCUGACAGGGAUGGAAAAAUACCAGAGCCAGAGGAUUGUCCCUUUAAAUAACGUCAUUCCAGAGCUAUGUCUCCCCAACAGGCCGACGACAUCUCCACUUCCCCGUUUUAGUGGUGUACGACGCGUUACCCUAUAAAUCCCCUCGCAACUAAUGAAACGACGCAGCAGGUAUUAAUGAAAUACACCGUGUUCCAAGCUACUAGCCAAAUCACAGCCGAGGGCGUCCCACCCUAGGGAAAGGCGAGCCUGUGAGGUGGAAGGAUAACAACAACAGCAGCAGCAGAAGCUACAUUCCAACCGUAGCGAAAGACGGGCUGAAACGGCUUCCUGGUGUCGGUGUCAUUAGGGGUGUGGAGAGUGGCUCCCGCUGUGCAACCGGCUUGCCGUGCGUUUCCACUUGCUGUGUUGACGUGAUGACAGUCUCCCUGACCCGUUUCCCCGAGGAAACGUCUAACGGGUGGGAGGUUGGCUGCCGGUGGUCUGAGCCUGUCAGGUUUGAAUUGGUCUGGGUGUGUAACAGAGGGCCUGAAUUCAGAGUCUUGGCUAGGUGACAGGGACACUGCUAUGGAGAUGUCACCUCUCAUACGCCACACAACCGUGAACAGAGAGAAACAGACUGUGGACGACAUUGUCAGCAAUAAUUACCGGAGUCUGCCUCUGCCAUUGGUAAAACAACUGUCGCCUGUCGGAGCCUUCUGUCCACCUCUGGCCCGUCUUGUCCCGAGUUGACCCAACACAGCAUGGAAUGGCCAUAAUACAUCAGGUAGAGGAGAAACAGAAGAUGUGCUGGACAUGGCAUAUGGCGCUUUCCGGUAUGCCUCAGCCAGUCUCUGUUCUCUCUCUCUCGCUCUCUCCCAAUCAGUCACCUUGAUUUAUCGCUCUUCUUUUUUCUUUUAUCUCCAGCUCUCUCUCUGUCCUAUAUAUCCCUCUUUCUCUCAAUUAUAUCUCUCCCUCACACUGAUGAGGGCCAGGCCAGUCUCUCUGAUGACAGGAGGAACUCCAUAAGGAACUGGCAAAGGACAGGAACGAGAGAAGAGAGGGAAAUAAAUGAGCACAGGGGAUAUGACUCAUAUAGACACCGCCAGCUCAUUUCAUCUUGUCCUCUGGGUUCUAUUUUUCACACCCAGAGGAUGGGGGGAACAUUGUGUUGAAAACCUAAUGUAUAGCAUGCCCUAAUGACUAGAUGGAGGGCCAAAGACAGUAUCUGUAACACUUUACCUAAAUUAACAUUAGCACAUGUAGUUUCAUUCUGAGCCAAACAUUGUGCCAUGGCAGAAUGGUUCUGGACAGUGGAGAAUUAGCUGGCUGGCUAGAACGGGUACAUUUCCAGUAAUUUUGAUUAAUGUGCACUGUCUCUGUGAAACUAAACGUAAUAAAGCUAGAUAAAUACAUUUGGUCCAUGGUUGCCGGGAAAUUGAAUAGUAGAGUUAAGCAGCACUUAGAGACUCCAAGAGUAAGAGCUGUCCAGUUGCUUCCUUGGCUGAGCAGCAAAGUAGCUCCUGGGUUCCAGAUCAGGGUGUUGUUUUAUCAGUACUCCUUCAUUAAGCUAAUGCAAAGCCCAGCUUCUUCCUGCCGCAACCUCGUCGGAUCAUGUGAUGUUUGACUACUGAUUAAACAUUAACGCUAUGCAUGCGCCGUUGUGUGUGUGUGUGUUCGUGUGUGCCCGUUUGUCUAUACGCAUGUACAGUUGCGUGUGUGUGAGAGCGAGACGGCGACCGCUCACCUAAGGAAUCCGAAAAUAAACAAAGAACCGAGGUAGAUUGUCCUCAUCGCUCAAGACGAAAUGUGGUUACAGGAAGUGUCCCGUCUGAGAGGACAGGAGCAGGGAGGACGGGGUUAGGAGACAAGAGCAGUGAACGGAGCAGAGAGGGAACCCAUUACUGAGCCCAUCCAUCUCUGUCUCAGUCAACAGCCUGGGGAGAACCAGGUGACGUAGAGGUGCCAGGCCUAGAAGUGAGCAAAGCAGAUCAAGAGAAAAGGAUUAAGAGUGUGUGGGCAUGUGUUUGGGUGCUAUCUAGGCCAGAGUAGAAAACAGCCAUCAGGUGUGUGUGUGUGUGUGUG